GACGAACGCUGGCGGCGUGCCUAAUACAUGCAAGUCGAGCGAGCGGAACUAACAGAUUUACUUCGGUAAUGACGUUAGGAAAGCGAGCGGCGGAUGGGUGAGUAACACGUGGGGAACCUGCCCCAUAGUCUGGGAUACCACUUGGAAACAGGUGCUAAUACCGGAUAAGAAAGCAGAUCGCAUGAUCAGCUUUUAAAAGGCGGCGUAAGCUGUCGCUAUGGGAUGGCCCCGCGGUGCAUUAGUUAGUUGGUAAGGUAAAGGCUUACCAAGGCGAUGAUGCAUAGCCGAGUUGAGAGACUGAUCGGCCACAUUGGGACUGAGACACGGCCCAAACUCCUACGGGAGGCAGCAGUAGGGAAUCUUCCACAAUGGACGCAAGUCUGAUGGAGCAACGCCGCGUGAGUGAAGAAGGUUUUCGGAUCGUAAAGCUCUGUUGUUGGUGAAGAAGGAUAGAGGUAGUAACUGGCCUUUAUUUGACGGUAAUCAACCAGAAAGUCACGGCUAACUACGUG
rnacentral:rRNA from 1 species